GACGAACGCUGGCGGCGUGCUUAACACAUGCAAGUCGAACGGAAAGGCCCUGCUUUUGUGGGGUGCUCGAGUGGCGAACGGGUGAGUAACACGUGAGUAACCUGCCCUUGACCUUGGGAUAACUUCAGGAAACUGGGGCUAAUACCGGAUAGGAGCUCCUGCUGCAUGGUGGGGGUUGGAAAGUUUCGGCGGUUGGGGAUGGACUCGCGGCUUAUCAGCUUGUUGGUGGGGUAGUGGCUUACCAAGGCUUUGACGGGUAGCCGGCCUGAGAGGGUGACCGGCCCCAUUGGGCCUGGGAUCAGGCCCAGCCCCCACCGGGGGGGAGGGGUGGGGAAUUUUGCAAAAGGGGCGGAAGCCGGAUGCAGCAACCCCGGGGGGGGGAGGACGGCCUUCGGGUUGUAAACCGCUUUCCCUUGUGACGAAGGGUGAGGGACGGUAAUGGGUAAAGAAGCACCGGCUAACUACGU
rnacentral:rRNA from 1 species